rnacentral:rRNA from 1 species
GGAGUUAGCCGGUGCUUCUUCUGUGAGUGAUGUCCUUCCUGCCGGCUAUUAACCCGCAGGCCUUCUUCCUCACUGAAAGUGCUUUACAACCCGAAGGCCUUCUUCACACACGCGGCAUGGCUGGAUCAGGGUUGCCCCCAUUGUCCAAUAUUCCCCACUGCUGCCUCCCGUAGGAGUCUGGGCCGUGUCUCAGUCCCAGUGUGGCUGAUCAUCCUCUCAGACCAGCUACGGAUCGUCGCCUUGGUGAGCCGUUACCUCACCAACCAGCUAAUCCGACAUAGGCUCAUCCGAUAGCGCGAGGCCCGAAGGUCCCCCGCUUUCCCCCGUAGGGCGUAUGCGGUAUUAGCCUGGGUUUCCCCAGGGUUAUCCCCCACUACCCGGGCAGAUUCCUAUGCAUUACUCACCCGUCCGCCGCUCGCCACCAGGGAGCAAGCUCCCCGUGCUGCCGCUCGACUUGCAUGUGUUAGGCCUGCCGCCAGCGUUCAAUCUGAGCCAUAAUCAAACUCUGA